GAUGAACGCUGGCGGCGUGCUUAACACAUGCCAGUCGAACGGAAAGGCCCUGCUUUUGUGGGGUGCUCGAGUGGCGAACGGGUGAGUAACACGUGAGUAACCUGCCCUUGACUUUGGGAUAACUUCAGGAAACUGGGGCUAAUACCGGAUAGGAGCUCCUGCUGCAUGGUGGGGGUUGGAAAGUUUCGGCGGUUGGGGAUGGACUCGCGGCUUAUCAGCUUGUUGGUGGGGUAGUGGCUUACCAAGGCUUUGACGGGUAGCCGGCCUGAGAGGGUGACCGGCAACAUUGGGACUGAGAUACGGCCCAGACUCCUACGGGAGGCAGCAGUGGGGAAUAUUGUACAAUGGGCGGAAGCAUGAUGCAGCAACGCCGCGUGCGGGAUGACGGCCUUCGGGUUGUAAACCGCUUUCGCCUGUGACGAAGCGUGAGUGACGGUAAUGGGUAAAGAAGCACCGGCUAACUACGUG
rnacentral:rRNA from 1 species